ACGCACGCUGGCGGCGUGCUUCACACAUGCAAGUCGCACGGUAAGGCCCUUUCGGGGGUACCCGAGUGGCGACCGGGUGAGUAACACGUGGGUGAUCUGCCCUGCACUUUGGGAUAAGCCUGGGAAACUGGGUCUAAUACCGGAUAGGACUACGCGAUGCAUGUCGUGUGGUGGAAAGCUUUUGCGGUGUGGGAUGGGCCCGCGGCCUAUCAGCUUGUUGGUGGGGUGAUGGCCUACCAAGGCGACGACGGGUAGCCGGCCUGAGAGGGUGUCCGGCCACACUGGGACUGAGAUACGGCCCAGACUCCUACGGGAGGCAGCAGUGGGGAAUAUUGCACAAUGGGCGCAAGCCUGAUGCAGCGACGCCGCGUGGGGGAUGACGGCCUUCGGGUUGUAAACCCCUUUCAGCACAGACGAAGCGUAAGUGACGGUAUGUGCAGAAGAAGCACCGGCCAACUACGUG
rnacentral:rRNA from 1 species